UUGAACGCUGGCGGCAGGCCUAACACCUGCAAGUCGAACGGUAACAGGAAGAAGCUUGCUUCUUUGCUGACGAGUGGCGGACGGGUGAGUAAUGUCUGGGAAACUGCCUGAUGGAGGGGGAUAACUACUGGAAACGGUAGCUAAUACCGCUUAACGUCGCAAGACCAAAGAGGGGGACCUUCGGGCCUCUUGCCAUCGGAUGUGCCCAGAUGGGAUUAGCUAGUAGGUGGGGUAACGGCUCACCUAGGCGACGAUCCCUAGCUGGUCUGAGAGGAUGACCAGCCACACGGGAACUGAGACACGGUCCAGACUCCUACGGGAGGCAGCAGUGGGGAAUAUUGCACAAUGGGCGCAAGCCUGAUGCAGCCAUGCCGCGUGUAUGAAGAAGGCCUUCGGGUUGUAAAGUACUUUCAGCGGGGAGGAAGGGAGUAAAGUUAAUACCUUUGCUCAUUGACGUUACCCGCAGAAGAAGCACCGGCUAACUCCGUG
rnacentral:rRNA from 1 species